CCUACGGGAGGCAGCAGUGAGGAAUAUUGGUCAAUGGGCUUACGCCUGAACCAGCCAAGUCGCGUGAGGGAAGACUGCCCUAUGGGUUGUAAACCUCUUUUGUCAGGGAGCAAUUGGCGCUACGUGUAGCGUUAUCGAGAGUACCUGAAGAAAAAGCAUCGGCUAACUCAGUGCCAGCAGCCGAGGUAAUACGGAGGAUGCGAGCGUGAUCCGGAUUUAUUGGGGUUCAGGGGUGCGUAGGCGGAAUGCCAAGUCAGCGGUAAACUCGCGGGGCUCAACCUCGCUGCGACGUUGAAAGUGGGAGGCGUGAGUAUGUUUGAGGCAGGCGGAAUGCGUGGUGUAGCGGUGAAAUGCUUAGAUAUCACGAAGAACCCCGAUUGCGAAGGCAGCCUGCCAAGCCAUGACUGACGCUGAUGCACGAAAGCGUGGGGAUCAAACAGGAUUAGAUACCCCAGUAGUC
rnacentral:rRNA from 1 species